rnacentral:rRNA from 1 species
AACGAACGCUGGCGGCGUGCCUAAUACAUGCAAGUCGAGCGGACAGAAGGGAGCUUGCUCCCGGAAGUUAGCGGCGGACGGGUGAGUAACACGUGGGCAACCUACCCUGUAGAUCGGGAUAACAUCGAGAAAUCGGUGCUAAUACCGGAUAAUCAUUUGAAGUGCAUGCUUCGAAUGUAAAAGAUGGCUCCGGCUAUCACUACGGGAUGGGCCCGCGGCGCAUUAGCUAGUUGGUAAGGUAAUGGCUUACCAAGGCAACGAUGCGUAGCCGACCUGGGGAGGAGAUCGGCCACAAUGGGAAUGAGACACGGCCCAGACUCCUACGGGAGGCAGAAGUAGGGAAUCUUCCGCAAUGGACGAAAGUCUGACGGAGCAACGCCGCGUGAGUGAUGAAGGUUUUCGGAUCGUAAAGCUCUGUUGUUAGGGAAGAACAAGUGCCGUUUGAAUAAGGCGGCACCUUGACGGUACCUAACCAGAAAGCCACGGCUAACUACGUGCCAGCCGCCGCGGUAACAC